rnacentral:rRNA from 1 species
CCCAUUGAUUGACGGUGCUUGCAUCUGAUUGAUUUUGGUUGCCAACGAGUGGCGGACGGGUGAGUAACACGUAGGUAACCUGCCCAGAAGUGGGGGACAACAUUUGGAAACAGAUGCUAAUACCGCAUAACAGCGUUGUUCGCAUGAACAACGCUUAAAAGAUGGCUUCUCGCUAUCACUUCUGGAUGGACCUGCGGUGCAUUAGCUUGUUGGUGGGGUAACGGCCUACCAAGGCGAUGAUGCAUAGCCGAGUUGAGAGACUGAUCGGCCACAAUGGGACUGAGACACGGCCCAUACUCCUACGGGAGGCAGCAGUAGGGAAUCUUCCACAAUGGGCGCAAGCCUGAUGGAGCAACACCGCGUGAGUGAAGAAGGGUUUCGGCUCGUAAAGCUCUGUUGUUAAAGAAGAACACGUAUGAGAGUAACUGUUCAUACGUUGACGGUAUUUAACCAGAAAGUCACGGCUAACUACGUGCCAGCAGCCGCGGUAAUACGUAGGUGGCAAGCGUUAUCCGGAUUUAUUGGGCGUAAAGAGAGUGCAGGCGGUUUUCUAAGUCUGAUGUGAAAGCCUUCGGCUUAACCGGAGAAGUGCAUCGGAAACUGGAUAACUUGAGUGCAGAAGAGGGUAGUGGAACUCCAUGUGUAGCGGUGGAAUGCGUAGAUAUAUGGAAGAACACCAGUGGCGAAGGCGGCUACCUGGUCUGCAACUGACGCUGAGACUCGAAAGCAUGGGUAGCGAACAGGAUUAGAUACCCUGGUAGUCCAUGCCGUAAACGAUGAGUGCUAGGUGUUGGAGGGUUUCCGCCCUUCAGUGCCGGAGCUAACGCAUUAAGCACUCCGCCUGGGGAGUACGACCGCAAGGUUGAAACU